rnacentral:rRNA from 1 species
GGAAUCUUGCGCAAUGGAGGAAACUCUGACGCAGUGACGCCGCGUGCAGGAAGAAGGUUUUCGGAUUGUAAACUGCUUUAGACAGGGAAGAAAAAGACAGUACCUGUAGAAUAAGCGCCGGCUAACUACGUGCCAGCAGCCGCGGUAAUACGUAGGGAGCGAGCGUUAUCCGGAUUUAUUGGGUGUAAAGGGUGCGUAGACGGGAAGUUAAGUUAGUUGUGAAAUCCCCAGGCUCAACUUGGGAACUGCAACUAAAACUGGCAUUCUUGAGUGUCGGAGAGGAAAGUGGAAUUCCUAGUGUAGCGGUGAAAUGCGUAGAUAUUAGGAGGAACACCAGUGGCGAAGGCGACUUUCUGGACGGUAACUGACGUUGAGGCACGAAAGUGUGGGGAGCAAACA